UUGUGCCUCUCCUUGACCCCCGGGGUAAUAGCCGGGAUCCGACUCAAGGUUGAGGUUCAAAAUUUGCGGACCUGUACUCCGAUCUGUUGCCUUUAUUGGGACAGGGGUGAGAGGGUUGGCUGUAUCCUUGCUUUUAUUAAAGGGAGUGUUUGUUUCUUUGGCUGGUUUGCCUGCCAUAAUAAAACCCUUGUAAUUUUGAAUUUCUAUCAUAUAAUAUCCCAAAUAUUA
rnacentral:misc_RNA from 1 species